rnacentral:rRNA from 1 species
UACGUAGGGUGCGAGCGUUAAUCGGAAUUACUGGGCGUAAAGCGUGCGCAGGCGGUGAUGUAAGACCGAUGUGAAAUCCCCCGGGCUUAACCUGGGAACUGCAUUGGUGACUGCAUUGCUGGAGUAUGGCAGAGGGGGGGUGGAAUUCCACGUGUAGCAGUGAAAUGCGUAGAGAUGUGGAGGAACACCGAUGGCGAAGGCAGCCCCCCUGGGCCUGCACUGACGCUCAUGCACGAAAGCGUGGGGAGCAAACAGG